rnacentral:rRNA from 1 species
GGAAAAGGGGGGGGCAGGCUUAACACAUGCAAGUCGAGCGGGGAAGGUUGCUUCGGUAACUGACCUAGCGGCGGACGGGUGAGUAAUGCUUAGGAAUCUGCCUAUUAGUGGGGGACAACAUUCCGAAAGGGAUGCUAAUACCGCAUACGCCCUACGGGGGAAAGCAGGGGAUCUUCGGACCUUGCGCUAAUAGAUGAGCCUAAGUCGGAUUAGCUAGUUGGUGGGGUAAAGGCCUACCAAGGCGACGAUCUGUAGCGGGUCUGAGAGGAUGAUCCGCACACUGGGACUGAGACACGGCCCAGACUCCUACGGGAGGCAGCAGUGGGGAAUAUUGGACAAUGGGGGGAACCCUGAUCCAGCCAUGCCGCGUGUGUGAAGAAGGCCUUUUGGUUGUAAAGCACUUUAAGCGAGGAGGAGGCGCUCUAGGCUAAUACCCUAGAUGCGUGGACGUUACUCGCAGAAUAAGCACCGGCUAACUCUGUGCCAGCAGCCGCGGUAAUACAGAGGGUGCGAGCGUUAAUCGGAUUUACUGGGCGUAAAGCACGCGUAGGUGGCUAAUUAAGUCAAAUGUGAAAUCCCCGAGCUUAACUUGGGAAUUGCAUUCGAUACUGGUUAGCUAGAGUAUGGGAGAGGAUGGUAGAAUUCCAGGUGUAGCGGUGAAAUGCGUAGAGAUCUGGAGGAAUACCGAUGGCGAAGGCAGCCAUCUGGCCUAAUACUGACACUGAGGUGCGAAAGCAUGGGGAGCAAACAGGAUUAGAUACCCUGGUAGUCCAUGCCGUAAACGAUGUCUACUAGCCGUUGGGGCCUUUGAGGCUUUAGUGGCGCAGCUAACGCGAUAAGUAGACCGCCUGGGGAGUACGGUCGCAAGACUAAAACUCAAAUGAAUUGACGGGGGCCCGCACAAGCGGUGGACCAUGUGGUUUAAUUCGAUGCAACGCGAAGAACCUUACCUGGCCUUGACAUACAGAGAACUUUCCAGAAAUGGAUUGGUGCCUUCGGGGAACUCUGAAUACAGGUGCUGCAU